UACGGAGGGUGCAAGCGUUAUCCGGAUUCACUGGGUUUAAAGGGUGCGUAGGUGGGCAGGAAAGUCAGUGGUGAAAUCUCCGGGCUUAACCCGGAAACUGCCGUUGAUACUAUUUGUCUUGAAUAUUGUGGAGGUAAGCGGAAUAUGUCAUGUAGCGGUGAAAUGCUUAGAUAUGACAUAGAACACCAAUUGCGAAGGCAGCUGGCUACACGAAUAUUGACACUGAGGCACGAAAGCGUGGGGAUCAAACAGG
rnacentral:rRNA from 1 species